CCCUCGUUCCAUGUUGCCAGCGCGUAAUGGCGGGGACUCAUGGGAGACUGCCGGGGUCAACUCGGAGGAAGGUGGGGACGACGUCAAAUCAUCAUGCCCCUUAUGUCUUGGGCUUCACGCAUGCUACAAUGGCCGGUACAAAGGGUUGCGAUACUGUGAGGUGGAGCUAAUCCCAAAAAGCCGGUCUCAGUUCGGAUUGGGGUCUGCAACUCGACCCCAUGAAGUCGGAGUCGCUAGUAAUCGCAGAUCAGCAACGCUGCGGUGAAUACGUUCCCGGGCCUUGUACACACCGCCCGUCAAGUCACGAAAGUUGGUAACACCCGAAGCCGGUGGCCUAACCCCUUGUGGGAGGGAGCCGUCGAAGGUGGGACUGGCGAUUGGGACUAAGUCGUAACAAGGUAGCCG
rnacentral:rRNA from 1 species